rnacentral:lncRNA from 12 species
UGCAGGAGAGGCCCCGCGACCCUGUCUGGGGAACCUCCGGAGGCAGCGCGUCCCAGGAGCCCGCAGAAGCGCCCGUUAGGCUGCGCGCCCGCGGGGGACCCGCCGCGCCGCCCCGCCCCGCCCCGCACCCCCGCGCCCGGCGCCCGCCGCCCUCUCCCCUCCCUGCCUCCUCCUCCCCACAUUCCCUUCCCGAGCCUCUCCGGGGCCCCCCUCCGUCCCCGCCAGCGCCCCCUCCCCGCGCCGGCCGCGGUGAAGUUUCGCCCUGCGCUUCCGCUUGAACCGCAUCCAGCUGCCUCGCCUUUAAAAUGCCGGGGCGGCCGCGACUCCGCGCUCAGCCCCUGUCGGCCGCCGGGCCGGGCUCGCCCGCACCUCCGGGGCGCUGACUCAGCCGCAGCCGCCCUCCCCGCCGAGCCGGGCCUGCGCUGCGCCCCGCGCCCCAGCCCCGCCGCCCGGGACCCGCGAGCGCACGGGACGGCCUCUCCCGUGGCUGCCCAUGCAGGGGCCUGCUGUCAGCGUGAACAGCUCUCAGCUGUGGUGAUGUCCAGCCUCUGGCCUGACCUCCCGGGGUGGCCCGACCCAGAGUGCAUAUCCUCCCAGUGGCCCUUGUGACCUGGUGACCACUCCGACUGCAGGUCAGUGCCCCCAGGCAGGGGUGGGGAGGCAGGCAAGGUCCAGGCCAGGGGGGAGCAUGGUCGCUGGUGGUUAUGGAUGUGUCCGGACCUGCCCACCUGAAGCUGGCCUCCACGUCCUCCUGAAGGCCGGGGGGCGGGGGGAGGGGACGGAGCCCACCUGGCCCCCCGGCAGCGGAGGGAGAGGCAGGCGGAGGCUGAGCGGGAGUCACUCCCUCCAUCUGUGGCUCAGUCCCUCCACUGAUGAGGAGAUGACACAGCGAUGUGAAGGUACAACCACAGUUAGUGCUCAGAGGAAUCGGGGGUGAGGUGCUGGUGUCACGUGUAGGGCGAGUCCUGCUGCAGGUGG